rnacentral:rRNA from 1 species
UGGGGAAUUUUGGACAAUGGGGGCAACCCUGAUCCAGCCAUGCCGCGUGCGGGAAGAAGGCCUUCGGGUUGUAAACCGCUUUUGUCAGGGAAGAAAUGUCCUGGGUUAAUACCCUGGGGGGAUGACGGUACCUGAAGAAUAAGCACCGGCUAACUACGUGCCAGCAGCCGCGGUAAUAAGUAGGGUGCGAGCGUUAAUCGGAAUUACUGGGCGUAAAGCGUGCGCAGGCGGUUAUACAAGACAGAUGUGAAAUCCCCGGGCUCAACCUGGGAACUGCAUUUGUGACUGUAUAGCUGGAGUACGGUAGAGGGGAGUGGAAUUCCGCGUGUAGCAGUGAAAUGCGUAGAUAUGCGGAGGAACACCGAUGGCGAAGGCAGCUCCCUGGACCUGUACUGACGCUCAUGCACGAAAGCGUGGGGAGCAAACA